UGGGGGAUAUUGCACAAUGGGCGAAAGCCUGAUGCAGCGACGCCGCGUGGGGGAUGAAGGCCUUCGGGUUGUAAACUUCUUUUGCUCUGAACAAGGCAUGCUAAUGGGUGUGUUGAGUGUAGGGGUUGAUUAGCGCCGGCUAACUCCGUGCCAGCAGCCGCGGUAAUACGUAGGGCGCGAGCGUUGUCCGGAAUUAUUGGGCGUAAAGGGCUUGUAGGUGGCUGGUUGCGUCUGUCGUGAAAGCUCAUGGCUUAACUGUGGGUUUGCGGUGGGUACGGGCUGGCUUGAGUGCAGUAGAGGAGGCUGGAAUUCCUGGUGUAGCGGUGGAAUGCGCAGAUAUCAGGAGGAAUACCGGUGGCGAAGGCGGGUCUCUGGGCUGUUACUGACACUGAGGAGCGAAAGCAUGGGGAGCGAACAGG
rnacentral:rRNA from 1 species